UAGGGAAUCUUCGGCAAUGGGGGCAACCCUGACCGAGCAACGCCGCGUGAGUGAAGAAGGUUUUCGGAUCGUAAAGCUCUGUUGUAAGAGAAGAACGUGUGUGAGAGUGGAAAGUUCACACAGUGACGGUAACUUACCAGAAAGGGACGGCUAACUACGUGCCAGCAGCCGCGGUAAUACGUAGGUCCCGAGCGUUGUCCGGAUUUAUUGGGCGUAAAGCGAGCGCAGGCGGGUUAAUAAGUCUGAAGUUAAAGGCAGUGGCUUAACCAUUGUUCGCUUUGGAAACUGUUAAACUUGAGUGCAGAAGGGGAGAGUGGAAUUCCAUGUGUAGCGGUGAAAUGCGUAGAUAUAUGGAGGAGCACCGGUGGCGAAAGCGGCUCUCUGGUCUGUAACUGACGCUGAGGCUCGAAAGCGUGGGGAGCAAACAGG
rnacentral:rRNA from 1 species